UUGUAUGUAUAUGAUUUCAGGGCUGAAUU
rnacentral:piRNA from 1 species